AUUCCUACGGGAGGCAGCAGUGGGGAAUAUUGCACAAUGGGGGAAACCCUGAUGCAGCGACGCCGCGUGGAGGAAGAAGGUCUUCGGAUUGUAAACUCCUGUUGUUGAGGAAGAUAAUGACGGUACUCAACAAGGAAGUGACGGCUAACUACGUGCCAGCAGCCGCGGUAAAACGUAGGUCACAAGCGUUGUCCGGAAUUACUGGGUGUAAAGGGAGCGCAGGCGGGCGAUCAAGUUGGAAGUGAAAUCCAUGGGCUCAACCCAUGAACUGCUUUCAAAACUGAUUGUCUUGAGUAGUGCAGAGGUAGGCGGAAUUCCCGGUGUAGCGGUGGAAUGCGUAGAUAUCGGGAGGAACACCAGUGGCGAAGGCGGCCUACUGGGCACCAACUGACGCUGAGGCUCGAAAGUGUGGGUAGCAAACAGGAUUAGAUACCCUGGUAGUCCACACCGUAAACGAUGAUUACUAGGUGUUGGAGGAUUGACCCCUUCAGUGCCGCAGUUAACACAAUAAGUAAUCCACCUGGGGAGUAC
rnacentral:rRNA from 1 species